CACCUUCUGCAUCGCUUACGGCGUGUACUGUCUGGCUGGGCCUUACCUCUUGGUGAGCCGGCGUGCCCUUUAUUGGUGUGCGUUGGGGAACCACAUACUUUUACCUUGAGAAAAUUAAAGUGUUCAAAGCAAGCCUGUGCCUGAAUACCUUAACAUGGAAUAAUAAAAUAAGACGUGCGGUUCUAUUUUGUUGGUUUCUAAAGUCCCCGUAAUGAUUAAUAAGGAUAUAUUGGGACGAAAUUCAACUACCAUAUUAUAA
rnacentral:rRNA from 1 species